AGAACGAACGCUGGCGGCAUGCCUAACACAUGCAAGUCGAACGAGACCUUCGGGUCUAGUGGCGCACGGGUGCGUAACGCGUGGGAAUCUGCCCUUGGGUUCGGGAUAACAGUUGGAAACGACUGCUAAUACCGGAUGAUGUCUUCGGACCAAAGAUUUAUCGCCCAAGGAUGAGCCCGCGUAGGAUUAGCUAGUUGGUGAGGUAAGAGCUCACCAAGGCGACGAUCCUUAGCUGGUCUGAGAGGAUGAUCAGCCACACUGGGACUGAGACACGGCCCAGACUCCUACGGGAGGCAGCAGUGGGGAAUAUUGGACAAUGGGCGAAAGCCUGAUCCAGCAAUGCCGCGUGAGUGAUGAAGGCCUUAGGGUUGUAAAGCUCGUUUACCGGGAUGAUAAUGACAGUACCGGAGAAUAAGCCCGAUAACUCGCGCCAGCAGCCGC
rnacentral:rRNA from 1 species